AGAACGACGCUGGCGGCGUGCUUAACACAUGCAAGUCGAACGCGAAAGGGACUUCGGUCCUGAGUAAAGUGGCGCACGGGUGAGUAACGCGUAGAUAACCUGUCUUCGAGUCUGGAAUAAUACACCGAAAGGGGUACUAAUACCGGAUAUUCUUACGUUUCAUAAGUGACGUAAGCAAAGGUGGCCUCUGUAUAUGCUACUGCUUGAAGAGGGGUCUGCGUACCAUUAGCUAGUAGGUAGGGUAAUGGCCUACCUAGGCUACGAUGGUUAGCGGGUCUGAGAGGAUGAUCCGCCACACUGGCACUGGAACACGGGCCAGGACUCCUACGGGAGGCAGCAGUGAGGAAUAUUGCGCAAUGGGGGCAACCCUGACGCAGCGACGCCGCGUGAGUGAGGAAGGCCUUCGGGUCGUAAAGCUCUGUCAAAGGGAAAGAAGUGCAUGGUGGCUAAUACCUGCCAUGUUUGACGGUACCCUUAAAGGAAGCACCGGCUAACUCCGUG
rnacentral:rRNA from 1 species